GCUGCUGGCCUACGCCAGAGCCACAGCAAUGCAGGAUCCGAGCUGUGUAUGCAACCUACACCGCAGCUCACGGCAUUCCGGAUCCUGAACCCACUGAGCGAGGCCUGGGAUCGAACCUGCAACCUCAUGGUUCCUAGUCGGAUUCGUUUCCACUGUGCCACAACAGGAACUCCACCGUAUCAAUUCUAUUUUCUUGCUCCUCUCAGUACUCUAAUGAAGGAAAGCUGAUGACACAUCUCUUUUUUAUAUAUUUAUUUUUCUCUAGGAAAACAGUCUUCUGUCGUGCAUUAGAUAUGACCCCGUGGACGUAUCUAUUCAGAUUUGGCUUUUUUUUUUUUUUUUUUUUUUUUUUUUUUAGGGCUGCACCCAUGGCUUAUGGAGGGGAACUCCAGAUUUGGCUUUUCAUUUUCAAGAUAAUCACCAGCAAACAGGCUCUUGGUGAAAGAAGCAGGGAGGCUACCCACAGCAUCCCCUCUGCACUGAGGAAACUCAGGAACCCAGCAACCCAGCCGCCAUGCACUGUACGUUGAUGAUACCCAGGGAAGAAUCAAGAUGGUGGCAGAAUAAAAGGACAUAGAGCCUACCUCUUCCCACAAAUACUUCAGAAAUACAUCUACAAAUGGAUCAAUCCUGGAAGGAUACCUACUAAACACUGGUAGAAGAACUCAAACACCUGAAAGGACAAGAGGGAUCUCCAUGUAACUGGGUUGGACAAAGAUGGGGGGAGAAACAGAAGGAGAGUGGAAGCAGGUUGGGACCUGCACCCCUGGAAGGUUGCUGAAGGAGAGGAGAGGUUUCUGUACCCAGGAAAGUCCCCUCAGUAGCGAGGAGGUCGGCUGGGACAGAAAAGGAGUUUUGGAGGCUUGGAGGAAAACACAAUAGCCGGCCUGUGGCAGGCAGGACAGAAUGAGACAUACACUGAUGAUUCCUACCACUUCCCUGUGUGCCCCAUCCUGAGACUCCCAACUGCUGAUAUGGGCUGGGGCUGGGGACUGGAACACAAGGUUGAGAGAAUAUAUCCAGGGAGAACACUUCAGUCAGUUGUACAGAGGCAGGUUGGAGGGCAGAGCAACACAAGUGAAAAUGUUUAAAAGGAGGCCAUGGUGGCCACAGAGGCUAAGCACCAUUGGUGAAUGGUGUGUGAGGAGCAGGGUAGCCCCCUUUCCCAAAUAAUGCUAUUUGCAGCAAUAUGGAUGGGCCUCAAGAGUAUCUGCUAAGUGAAGUAAAUCAGCUAGAGAAAGACAAAUAUCACAUGAUAUCACUUAUAUGUGGAAUCUAAUUAAACAUGAUACAAAAGAACUUAUUUAUAAAAUAGAAACAAACUCACAGAUGUUUUUUUUCUUUUUAAAGCCAUAUCUGCAGCAUAUGGAAGUUCCCAGGCUAGGGGUCAAAUUGGAGCUGCAGCUGCAGGCCUACACCAUAGUAACACCAGAUCCUAGCCACAUCUGUGACCUACACCACAGCUGUGGCAUCACCAGAUCCUUAACCCACUGAGCAAGGCCAGGGAUCAAGCCUGCAUCCUCACAGAGACAACGCAAGGCCCUUAACCCACUGAGCCACAAUAGCAACUCCAUUAAAAGAUUUUGAAAUCAAACUUAGGAUUACCAAAGAGGAAACUGUAGUGGGAGGGAUAAAUUAAGAGGAUGGGAUCAACACAUACACACUACUGUAUAUAAAAUAGAAAACUAACAAGGACCUACUGUAUAGAACAGGGAGGCCUACUCAAUGUUCUGUAAGAACCUGUAUGAGAGAAAAGAAUGGAUAUAUGUAUAUGUAUAACUGAUUCACUUUGCUGUACACCUGAAACUAAUACAACAUUGUAAGUCAACUAUACCCCAAUACAAAUUUUAAAAAGAACAUAAAAUAGUUUUCAGAACAAGAAAUAUUAGGAAUAAAGGCAGACACUCAAUAAUGGUAAACAGAUCAAUUCUCUAGGAAGACAUAGAAAUUUUAAAUAUAUGUCACCUAACAAUAAGGAUUGAAUGUACAUGAAAUAAAAACUGACAGAAAUUAAAGAUGAAAUAGACAAAACAUGGUUAUAAUUGGAUAUUUCUACACACCUUUUUCAGUAACUGAUAAAACGAGCAGACAGAACAUCAGUAAGGGUAUAAAAUAUUUGAAGAGCCAGAUAAACCAACAUGAUUUAAUUGUCAUUUAUAGAAAACUCCUCACAACAGCAAAAUACACAUUCUUUUCAACUUUGCAUGGAACAUUCAACAAAAAAGCCAAAUUUUUGGCCAUAAAACAAGUCUCCAUAAAUUUAAAAGGAGUGAAAUCAAACUAAGUAUGUUCUCUGACCACAGCAGAAUUAAAAUAGGACUGUAAGAUAGACAUCUCAAAAAUACAUAAAUACAUGGAAUUGAAAACAAAUUUGUAUAUCACACAUGAGUCAAAGAAGAAAUCAUAAAUUAAAUUAGAAAAUAAUUUUACCUGAAUGAAAAUGAAAACAUGGCAUACCCAUAUUUGUGGAUUGUAGCUAAAGCAGUGCUUAUGGGAAAUUUAUGGUAUUAAGUGAUUAGUAGAAAAACAAGGAAGUAUUCAAAUAAAUAACCUAAGCUUCUACCUUAACAACUAGAAAUAGAAGAUCAAAUUCAAUCCAAGGUGUGUUGGGAAGGAAAUAAUAAAGGGAAUCAAUGACACUGAAAACAGAAAAACAAUAGAGAACAUCAGUGAGGUCAAGAGCUGUCAUUUGAAAAGAUUCAUAAAUCUUAACUAACGUGAUCAAGAAUAAAAGGGAGAAGAAACAAAUUAUGGAUAUCAGGAAUGAAAGAAAGCUGUCACUACAGAUCUUACAUAUAUUAAAAGGAUAAUAGGAAAAUAUUAUGAACAAUUUUGUCAUGAGAUUUAAAAACUAGAUGAAAUUGACAAAUUGCUUGGAAGAAAUCAAAUAUUUUGAAAUUGACAAAAAAUUGAAAAUCUAAAUAAGCAUGUAUUCUACAAAGACAUUAUAUUAAUCAUUUAAAAUACUACAGGACCAGAUAGACCAGAUGAAUUCUAUGAAAUGUAUAAGGAAGAAGUAAUAGCAAUCUUUAAAAAGUCAGAAAUUAUAAGAGGACACUUUUCAAAUAAUUUUAGGCCAUCAGUACCUGGAUAUUAAAACAAGAUUAAAAUAUUGUAAGAAUAGAAAGCUACAGAGCAACAUCCCUUAUGAACAUAGAUGUAAAAUUACUCAACAUAAUAUUAGCAAAUUGGAUCCGGUAAUACCUAUAAAAAAAUGCAUCACAACCAAAUGAAGUUUAUUCUGGGAAUGCAAGGUUACAUUAACAUUUGAAAAUAAAUUGUUAUAAUUCACCAUAUCAACAGAAUAAGGGAGAAAAAACCACCAGAACAUCUUAAUAUGCAGGAAAAGCAUUUGAAGAAAAUCAAGUCUAAUUGAAGAUUAAAAAAACCUCUUAGCAAAAAGAAAUUGAAGGGUACUUAGCCUGAUAAAGGCAUCUACAAAAAAGCCCUAAUGUAUUAUCCUUAAGAUUGAGAACAAGGCAAAUGUGUCCACUCUUGCUAUUUCUUUUCAACAUUAUACUGGUGGUCCUAGCCAUUAUAAUGAGAUUAGUACAAGAAAAAAAAGUCAUAAAGAUUUAAAAGGAAAAAACAACACUAACUUUAUUCACAAGUGACAUUUUGUAUAAAUGGAAAAUCCUAAUGAAUCAUCAGAAAUGCUAUUAAAUACACAACUGAGUAAGGUCAUAAGAUAUAAAAGCAACAUACAAAAGCUGACUUUUUAUAAACUAGCAAAUAACAAUUGAAUAUUUUUCCAUGUUUUGUGUUUAUGUUUUAUUUUUAAUUUUAUAUUGGAGUAUUGUUGAUUUACAGUGUUGUAUUAGAUAAUUGAGUAUUGAUAAUAAAAAGUUAUUACAUUUAAAAUAUCAUCCCCAAACAUGAAUUUCUUAAAGCUACAUUUAGCAAAAUAUGUGCAAACCUGUACAUUUUAAAUUGUGACAAAAAUAGAAGAAAAGUUAAAUAAGUGGAGAGAUAUACCAUAUUUAUAGAUUAGAGGACUCAGUUGUGUCAAAGUUGUGGCAAAUUCUCCUCAUUAAUUCAUAGAAUCAAUUCAAGCUGAUCAAUAUGCCAACAAGUUCUUAAAAGUGAUUUAAAAUCUGAUACUAAAAUUUGUAUGGAAAUCUGAAGGAUCUAAAUGUCAGAAAGAAUUUCCUAAAAUAACAAAGUGGGGGAGGUAUGGCUAAGAUGGUGGAGUAGGAAGACCCUGAGCUCAAAUCCUACCAUGAGUACACCAAAAUUAUAAUGAUUUACAGAGCAGCUGUUUAUGAGAAUGACCUGAACACUAACAGAGAAGACGUUCUACAACUAAAGAUAUAGAGAAGGAACCACAAUGAGAUGUAUAGGAGAGAGGCAGUAUAGUCAAGGCCCAUUCCCAUUGUAGGCAAACCACAAAUGGGAGGAUAAUCAUAAUUGCAGAGGGUCUCCCACAAGGAGCAAGGGGUCUGAGCUGCACAUUGGGCUCCAUAGCCUGGGUGGGCUUUUUAAAAAAUUUUAUUGAGGUAUAGUUGACUUACAAUGUUAUAUUAGUUCCAAAUGUACAGCAAAAUGAAUCAGAUAUAUAUAUGCAAAUCAGAUAUAUAUAACCUUCCCGUAGAGGUUAUUACAUAAUUGUGAGUAGAUUUUCCUGUUCUAUACAAUAGUUCCCUGUUAGUUUUCUAUUUUAUUAUAUACGGUAAUGUGUAUGUUUUAAUCCAUUCCUCCCAAUUUAUCCCUUCUCCAUGGGUUCCCCUUUGGUAACCAUAAGUUUGAUUUCAAAACCUAUGAGUUCAUUUCUGUUUUUUAAAUAAGUUCUUUUUGUAUCAUUUUGUUAGAUUCCACACAUAAAUUAUACAAUUUAUGUGUGAUAUUUUUCUUUCUCUGACUUAACUUCACUUAGUAUGAUAAUCUCUAGGCCUAUCCAUGUUGCUGCAAAUGGCAUUAUUUCAUGCUUUUUAUAGCUGAAUAAUAUCCCAUUGUAUAUAUGUACCACAUCUUCUUUAUCCAUUCCUCUGUCCAUGGACAUUUAGGUUGCUUCCAUGUCUUAGCUAUUGUAUAUAGUGCUGCAGUGAACAUUGAGUGCAUGUAUCUUUUUGAAUUAUGGUUUUGUCUAGGUAUAUGCCCAGGAGUGGGAUUGCUUGAUCAUAUGGUAGUUAUAUAUUUAGUUAUCUGAAGACCCUCCAUACUGUUCUCCAUAGUGGUUGCACCAAUUUACAUCCCCAUCAACAGUGUAGGAGGGUUCCUUUCACUCCCCACACUCUCCAGCAUUUAUCAUUUGUAGACAUUUUGAUGAUGGCUAUGCUGACUGGUGUGAAGUUAUACCUCAUUGUAGUUUUGAUUUGCAAAGAAGAUAUACUAAGAUACAGCCAUUAAAAAAAACAAAAUAAUGCUAUCCACAGCAACAUGGAUGGAACUAGAGACUCAUACUAAAUGAAGUAAGUCAGAAAGAGAAAGACAAAUACCAUAUGAUAUCAUAUAUCUGCAAUCUAAUAUAUGGCACAAAGGAACCUGUCUACAGAAAAGAAACAAACACAUGGACAUGGAGAAUAAACUUGUCAUUGCCAAGGGGGAAGGGGAAGGAAUGGGAUGGACUGGGAGUUUGGGGUUAGUAGAUGCAAACUAUAGCAUUUGUAGUGGAUAAGCAAUGAGAUCCUGCUGUAUAGCCCAGGGAACUAUAUCUAAUCAUUUGUGAUGGAACAUGAUAGAGGAUAAUGUGAGAAAAAGAAUGUCUAUGUAUGUAUAACUGGGUCACUUUGCUGUACAGCAGAAAUUGACAGAACACUGUAAAUCAACUAUGAUAAAAAAAAUCAAAAAGUCACCUAAUGCUUGGGAAAAGAUAUUUUCAAACAAUAUAUCUGCUAAGGGGUUAAUAUUCAACAUAUACAAAGAAAUCAUACAAUUAAACAUCAAAAAACUAAACAACCUAAAUUUUUUAAAUGGGCAGAGGAAGAACCUGAGAGACAAUUUUCCAAAAAAGAUGUACAGAUGGCCAACAGGCACAUGAAAAGAUAUUCAACAUUGCUAAUUGUUAGAAAAAUGCAAAUCAGAACUACAAUGAAACAUCACCUUACACCUGUUAGAAUGGCUGUUAACAAAAAGACAAAAAAAAGCAAGUAUUGGUGAGGAUAUGGAGCAAAGGGAACACUUGUACACUAUGGAUGAGAAUGUAAACUGGUAUGGUCGCUAUGAAAAACAUUUUGGAGGUGCCUCAAAAAGUUAAAAGUAGAACUAAUGGGGUUUUCUGGUACUGAGCAGGUUAAGGAUCUUGUGUUGUCACUGCUGUGGUGUGUAUUUGAUUUCUGGUCCAGGACUUCCACAUGAUGCGGGUAUGGCCAAAAAAGUAAAUUAAAUUAAAAUGUUUUAAAAAAAAUAGAACUACCAUAUGAUCCAGCAGUCCAAUUUGGGGUGUUUUUUCCACAGAAAACAAAAAUGCUAGUUUGAAAAGAUAUGCACAUCCAUGUUCAUUGCAAUAUUAUUUACAAUAGCUAAGAUAUGGAAGCCACCUAAGUGCCCAUUGAUAGACGAAUGGAUAAAUAAGAUGUAGUAUGUAUAUAUAAUGGAAUAUUAUUUAGCCAUAAAAAGAAUGAAAUUUUGCCAUUUUAAACAACGUGGAUGGACCUGGAGGGUAUUGUGCUAUGUGAAAUAAGUAAGAUAGAAAAAGAAAAA
ensembl:lncRNA